GGGGCAGGCAGGUGAGGCUAGGUCUGAGCAAGGGCAUCUCCUGGCUGGAGGAGGGCUGCCUGUAGACAUGGUAUAAGCCCAGACCCUGAGAGCAGGGCUGGCAGUAACAUUUUGGCAGCUGGUGAAGGAACAUCCCCCAGCAGGAAGGCUGCUGCUCCUGAAUGCCAGCAAGGAGAAAGGCUCUCUGCAAGCUCAGAUACAAGUUCCCACUGCAGUUACAUGAUACCAGCCCAAUGGAGUCGCAAUCAGCUGUGUACUGAUGAAGACUGUUGCAUUAAAAAUGAUUGUACAGUUGUUGCGUAUAAAAUAUAUGAUAGGUUGAAACCCAGUUUUAUCCAUAUUUCCCAUGUUUGAAUGUUCAUUACUUUGUUCAUAAUUGCUAAGAAAGAGCUAAUUAAAGGGAAAAUGGCUUUCAUUAUUUCUAUCAUAAUAAUUUGUAUCAGUUAAGGAGGCAACACAAACAAGAGAAUAAAUGUGUUUGUAAAUGAACCAUAAGGGGACAAGUCACUAGCUAAAGGUCUGAGGUAAAAGAGGGAUUCAGAUCCUGAUCCCUUUCCUACAGCUUGGACUGGGUCCUGGGCUCGUUACAGAACCUGGCUGCACAGGGAUACAGAAUUCUACCUGCUUUUAUUCCAUGUUAGGGCCAGGGCCCCAGCCUUUUUUCUCUUUGUACUUUGUUUUCCAUCCUCGACUGGAAGUGCCCCUACUUCUUUUAUGAUAUAUUGUCCCUGGGAAUCCAUAGCGAACAAGUGGAUCUGCACAGAUGUCCCUUCUCUCUGCCUUGCUGCCCAGCCACAUUUGCAUUUUGCUGACCCAGCAGAACCUGAGCUUCCAAUGCUGGAACACUCUCCAAGGGGAAGGGUUGAGAGGAACCUAGAGCAUGAAGUGGAAAGUAGACAGAGUUUACAUAACUUUAAGAUCAAUAUCAUUGUUUCAAGAAAUAGUUUGGACAGCGCAGAGGCAUUAUAACUAAUGGACACUUUCAUUCAAAUUUAUAUAUGAGGGCAUCAUGGACCACCGGGACCGCUUCACCCACAUCUUCACCAGCUGGGCGGGCAGCUUCCAUGAUGCCCACACCUUCUGCAACUCCCUGCUCCCACACUGAUGCAGAGUGGGUGUGACCCUGCCCCCAUCAUUGGGGAUCCAUCUUAUCCUCUCUUGCCCUGGAUGAUGAAGCUUUAUGGGGGCAGCUGGACCAUCAGAAGGAGCAUAUCAACUACUGCCUGAGCAGGUGCACUGUUAUGGUGGAGUGUACCUUUGGCAGCCUCAAAGCUCAUUGGUGGGCUCUCAGUGUGUGCCUCAAGGUGAAUGAGGAGACCCUGCUGUGACUCGUUGUUACAUGUUUUUCCCAUAACAUCUGUGACACUAAGAGGAAGAUGAUUCAUGAAGCCUGGGUUGAGGAGGCAUGGUGCCUGGACCAGGCAUGGCAGGUCAGGUAACUUUGGUGCAGGGAUGGGAGAGAGGGUAAACCCCACACUGAGGUUGGGGGCACUGGCUCCACACAGUGGCAGGGAGUCUAGAUCUAUGAAAUGCUGGCCAACAACCUCUUCACACUUGGGGACCAGGAGCCCUCCAUAGAUGAGUAGAGCUGGAGGGUUUCAAGUGUCCAUGCCCUGGUUCUGGGCUAUGGAUCUUCUGGCCCAGUCUUCUUUGGUGCUGCAUCCUUGGCUACACUGCCUACAACCAAGGCUGCUUCUAUUCCCCUGCUCCCCCAUUCCACCAGGGGCACACACUGGAAUGCAGGGGGAUGUGGCAUGAGGAAGAGAUAUUCCUCAGUUUGAAAUGUUGCAGCUGCCAAAGUUUUCUAAUUUUUACUAAA